GGCCGGGGCGCCGCGCCUGGCCAGGCUGGCGGGGCUGUGGCAGGAACGGCAGCAGCUGCCCUGGGGCUGGAUUGAGCCCGCGAAGGGACCGCGUUUCGUCCCGGCGCGCAGGGAGCAGCCCUGCCGCUUCCUGCUGGCCGGGCUCCGCGUCCCUGCCGGCGAAAGCCAAGACGAAGCCUGCCUUUCAUUACAGGUGGUAUCUCACAGCUGGAAGCUUACAGAACCCUCCUCCUGUCAUAAAAAGGUAGAAGUCACCUGACACGUUAGCUAAGGUUAUUUGUGUACCCAAAGAUGGGACUGAAGAUGUAUCAGAAGUAGCUUUAAACUAGUCAGGUUUCAUCAAAAUAGCUGUCAGAAGUGGCAGCAUGCUACUCCAUAUGGUCAACAAAAUCUAUUGGGGAAUUUGGGUAGAUAUUCAGCUAUACCUGAGCUAUCCAGAUUAAAACAUUUGUGUCUAGAUCACAUACACCCACUCUUCCGGCCUUGGUUUAGACAGAGAACUGUCUCUCAAGUUAACUAAUCCUGGUUGGAGCAAGGCAGUUGACAAUGUUCACCUAAAUUAAGUGGUUGGAUUUAGAACUGUGUGGGAACCUAAUUUCAACACAGUAUGUUAACUCCUAUGAAAAUGAAGUAUAUCUUGUUCACUUGGUAGUCUAGCUUGAGCCAUUCUGGUUUUUCUUUUCCAUUUCACAAUGUAUAUAAAAGUCAAGACCAGGCCAGAGAGAAAGAGGACAGGAUGAAUGGUGAGAUGUUAAAUCUUACUCUGGCCUCAUCCCCAUUGCUAGUGCAUCAGAGAAGGGAAUACUGUUGUGUCUGGCAGAAAACACACUGACAUGAGUGCCUCUUCAUCGUCUGUUGCCUCCCUCUCUGAAGCAACUGGGGGAUUAAGAGUCGCUCCCUUAAAUUGGAUGUAUAGUAGCAAUGUUUCUGCCUUUAUUGUUAACACAAGUUGUAGGCAUGAUGUAUCAGUUACCAUGUAAGGAUGAAAGCUAUAGACGUAUACAGAGUUUCAGGCAGUUUAUUCCUUUUUCAGGUCCUGAGAGGGCAUUUGCUAGCCUUAUGUAGCCGAAUGUGUGUAUUUAGCUAAUGCUGCCAUCAUGUAUAUUUAGCUGCUCUGAUAAAUCCUGCCUUUCCCUGUAUAUCUCACUUAGGACGUACACAGGGACAAUCCUGGGAAAGCAAAGUAGACUGCAUCAGCAAAACUGUGGUGGUCUGCUAAUAGUUGUGCUUAAGAAAAUGCUUCUGAUUCUGUAGCUAUUAUGAUGAAAGGUCUUACUUCCUCAUGCUUCUGUAACUAUUGCAGCAGAGGUCACACCUACUGUACUUUACACCUAUUUUAACCACUGUAAGCUUAUUUAGCAGCUAUUCAGUGGCACUGUUGUUUAUUCAGAGCAGAACAUGUUCUUAUAAUCUUACUCCUCUCUGUUUCAGUUUGUACUAGCCAAAGUUAUACUCAUGCACUAUUUUGGAUUUAUUUUCCAUGUUUUAAAGAUAUUUUUUUUUAUGACACCACCAGCAAAAGUAAAGAGGGCUUUCCGUAAAAUUUCUUAGCGUAGUCUAGCAACUCAGAUUUCUUCCCCAUGAAACUUUGAUUGCUUAUAACCAAUUGGUGCUUUCAGUCCUGUUUUCUUCAUCUGCCCUAAUGGAAAAACAGGUGUUGUGCAAAAAUACUGAGUUAAUUAAGAUUUAAAAUAUUAAAGCCAAAAGAUAAUAAGCAACCAAGGAGAUGUUUCCUGUUAGACUUCAGUGAGUCCUGUCAAGUCUAAAUGUUUCAAAUUUACCCAUUAUUUGUUUAUUUUUAUGUAAAGAAUGUCAGCCGGCUGCAUGCCAUAACUGAAAAAAGGUAAGUGUAGGGGAAAUUAUUAGCUUUACCUUGAGCUAAUUACACAAAUGCAUACACCUCCCUAUGUGAGGUGUUAAUUUUUUAUUAUGGUGAUUGUAACUAUAAACAAAUGUAAAAGUGCUACUGUCUAUGUCUGUGAUGGGCAGCAAUCUAACACAUAUGCAGAUGAAAACCAGAUCUUUUAUUCUGUGCAUAUUUCCUGAUUAGUUGAACCAUUUCUGGUUUUGCUCAUGUUAUGUAUGCAUGGAGUCCUUAAUUUUUAACAGUAAGGUAGUUAUUUUAUUGCAUUGUCUCUUUCCUUUUUAACAGUGAAAUCGUGACCUGUUACUUUGACUAAAGGAGAGCCCUUUUCUCAGCUGAAAAUAUUCCAGUACAGUGUGUGUAAGUCCUUCCUGUUUUAACAACCUGUAUGUGGACAACAUGGAGUUUAGAAUAUUACUGGCCAACAGGACAGGCUGUUCAAAGGCUAGAAAUUGCUUUAUGUUUAUCUGAGAUGCAGGUCAGCUCCCUUUUAAUGUGCAUAUGCAAUUAAUCAGUCAUUUUUUCCUACGUCACUGAUAAUAUUAAACUCUUUUAAUGUUUCAGUUCAAAGAGGUUUACUUGCUGGUAAUUCUUUGCUGGUAAUUGCAUGUGGAGACCCUUCUGUAGCCAGUUUCAGCUCAUACACUGUUUAGCAUGUUGAUAAUCAAAACAAGUGUUACUAAGCCUUUAAGAAGUCUCACCCAAAGUUAUAAUUUGAUUAAUUGUAUUUCUCCAUUAUUAUAACCUUUCUUAAUUCUUACCUAAUCAUGUUUAGUGUCAACAAUUUUACUAUUUGUCAGGCCUCCUUACCUGUAGUUAGGCAGGUCAUCUGAUAUCAAUCCUAGGAAAACACUGAUUAUUUUUUGGGACAUGCAUCAUAUGUGAAUAUCACUAUAAUACAAUGACUUGUUGGCAAGCUGUAGUGAAUCAUUUUCCUUUUUUAUCUGUAAAUGGGGAUUAGUAAUCUCUACUGAAGUUGUUACACUAGCAGUUGUACAUAUUGUUACAUAGUCUUUUUUUUCUGUAAUGUUUUUGCCUCUCUCUAAAAAUAAAACCUAUUUGUCACA